CCUACGGGAGGCAGCAGUCGAGAAUCAUUCACAAUGGGGGAAACCCUGAUGGUGCGACGCCGCGUGGGGGAAUGAAGGUCUUCGGAUUGUAAACCCCUGUCAUGUGGGAGCAAAUUAAAAAGAUCGUACCACAAGAGGAAGAGACGGCUAACUCUGUGCCAGCAGCCGCGGUAAUACAGAGGUCUCAAGCGUUGUUCGGAAUCACUGGGCGUAAAGCGUGCGUAGGCUGUUUCGUAAGUCGUGUGUGAAAGGCGCGGGCUCAACCCGCGGACGGCACAUGAUACUGCGAGACUAGAGUAAGGGAGGGGGAACCGGAAUUCUCGGUGUAGCAGUGAAAUGCGUAGAUAUCGAGAGGAACACUCGUGGCGAAGGCGGGUUCCUGGACAUUAACUGACGCUGAGGCACGAAGGCCAGGGGAGCGAAAGGGAUUAGAUACCCGAGUAGUC
rnacentral:rRNA from 1 species